UUAAGAUAAUAAUUUUUUUUCGUUCAGUUGAGUCAAUUUAAGCCAUUUCGGUGCAACUUCCAUUGGGAUUACUAAAAUGGAUGCAGUCACAAACACAGUUGAAGUUGCAGAGUUAUUCCCGAUUUUACUGGAGGUGCAUCUCCAAGAACUGAAUGACACUCGAAGUGGAGACCUUGCAAGGAUACGUCGGCGUUUUCAUCAAAAUCGAGUUUGCUGAUCAACAUCACAGCAUGAUCUUCAAAAUUGAAGUCCCGUUUUUAUCAUAAAAGUAUAUAAAUCACAAGGAUGCCUGUCAAUGACUAAAUAAGGGUGGAGAAAAGUGGUUAGAUUACAAUAACACCGAGCGGUAUAAUUUGAGUCAAUCCCUUCAACUCCUGAAAAUAAACGUGCUAAAGUUAAAAAAAAUGUCGAUUGUCAUAUCCGCACCACCAACAUAGUAAAAAUGCCAAAUCCCCAAAUCAGAUCAGAAUAGAAGUGGAGAAAGCUUUAUAUAGUUACUCAUAUACAGGAUAAAGAACUUUUUGCGGGGAUUAUCAAACUAUAUAUAAAUUGUCAAAACAUUAAAUUAGAUAAAAAAAACG